AGAAGGGCUGGAAACGCUGGAGCGGCCCCGAGGCGCAGCUGGGCCGCGAAAUCGGCGAUUUCCUGGAGGAUGUGGGGCUGCAGGAGAGAGCGGCCGGGGGUCUGAUCUCGGAGCAGCCGAACGAGGGCCUUUUCUUCCUGGAUACUGGAAACGCCCCUAAAGGCCGGCGCCCCAAGAAGCCCCCACAGAAACCCCUUCACGUGGACCUGGUGCUGCAGCCGCUCUCCAAAGUGCCCCCUCCAAAAAACAUCUGCGCCCACCAGACCCCGAACGGGCGGAAGGAGAAGCGGCGCCGCGAAUUUUGGGAGAAAAAAGCGGAAAAAGGGAUUUUCC